AUUUAAAUAGCUUAAAUUUAGAGCAUAAUAUUGAAGCUGUUAUGGUGGUUUUAAACCUUUAAAUA
rnacentral:tRNA from 1 species